AGAGUUUGAUCCUGGCUCAGAUUGAACGCUGGCGGAAUGCUUUACACAUGCAAGUCGAGCGGCAGCACGGGGGCAACCCUGGUGGCGAGCGGCGAACGGGUGAGUAAUACAUCGGAACAUGCCCAGUCGUGGGGGAUAACACUUCGAAAGAAGUGCUAAUACCGCAUACGUCCUGAGGGAGAAAGCGGGGGAUCGCAAGACCUCGCGCGAUUGGAGUGGCCGAUGUCAGAUUAGCUAGUUGGUGGGGUAAAGGCCUACCAAGGCAACGAUCUGUAGCUGGUCUGAGAGGAUGAUCAGCCACACUGGGACUGAGACACGGCCCAGACUCCUACGGGAGGCAGCAGUGGGGAAUUUUGGACAAUGGGGGCAACCCUGAUCCAGCCAUUCCGCGUGAGUGAAGAAGGCCUUCGGGUUGUAAAGCUCUUUCGGCAGGAACGAAACGGUGAGCUCUAACAUAGCUUGCUAAUGACGGUACCUGAAGAAGAAGCACCGGCUAACUACGUGCCAGCAGCCGCGGUAAUACGUAGGGUGCGAGCGUUAAUCGGAAUUACUGGGCGUAAAGCGUGCGCAGGCGGUUGUGUAAGACAGGUGUGAAAUCCCCGGGCUUAACCUGGGAACUGCGCUUGUGACUGCACAGCUAGAGUAUGGCAGAGGGGGGUGGAAUUCCACGUGUAGCAGUGAAAUGCGUAGAGAUGUGGAGGAACACCGAUGGCGA
rnacentral:rRNA from 1 species